rnacentral:rRNA from 1 species
CCUGACUGCUAUCGGAUUGAUACUAAGCCAUGCGAGUCAUUGUAGUAAUACAAGGCAGACGGCUCAGUAACGCGUAGUCAACCUAACCUAUGGACGGGAAUAACCUCGGGAAACUGAGUAUAAUGCCCGAUAGAACAUUAUGCCUGGAAUGGUUUAUGUUCCAAAUGAUUUAUCGCCGUAGGAUGGGACUGCGGCCUAUCAGUUUGUUGGUGAGGUAAUGGCCCACCAAGACUAUUACAGGUACGGGCUCUGAGAGGAGUGGCCCGGAGAUGGGUACUGAGACACGGACCCAGGCCCUAUGGGGCGCAGCAGGCGAGAAAACUUUGCAAUGUGCGAAAGCACGACAAGGUUAAUCCGAGUGGUUUCUGCUAAAGGAACCUUUUGUCGGUCCUAGAAACACCGAUGAAUAAGGGGUGGGCAAGUUCUGGUGUCAGCCGCCGCGGUAAAACCAGCACCUCAAGUGGUCAGGAUGAUUAUUGGGCCUAAAGCAUCCGUAGCCGGCUUUGUUAGUUUUCGGUUAAACCUGUACGCUUAACGUACAGGCUGCCGGGAAUACUGCAGAGCUAGGGAGUGGGAGAGGUAGACGGUACUCGGUAGGAAGGGGUAAAAUCCUUUGAUCUAUUGAUGACCACCUGUGGCGAAGGCGGUCUACCAGAACACGUCCGACGGUGAGGGAUGAAAGCUGGGGGAGCAAACCGGAUUAGAUACCCGGGUAGUCCCAGCUGUAAACUAUGCAAACUCAGUGAUGCAUUGGCUUGUGGCUAAUGCAGUGCUGCAGGGAAGCCGUUAAGUUUGCCGCCUGGGAAGUACGUACGCAAGUAUGAAACUUAAAGGAAUUGGCGGGGGAGCACCACAAGGGGUGAAGCCUGCGGUUC